UACGGAGGGUGCGAGCGUUGUUCGGAUUUACUGGGCGUAAAGGGCGCGUAGGCGGUUUUAUAAGCCAGAUGUGAAAGCCCACGGCUCAACCGUGGAAGUGCAUCUGGAACUGUAAGACUUGAGUACUGGAGGGGAGUGUGGAAUUCCCGGUGUAGAGGUGAAAUUCGUAGAUAUCGGGAGGAAUACCGGUGGCGAAGGCGACACUCUGGACAGAUACUGACGCUGAGGCGCGAAAGCGUGGGGAGCAAACAGG
rnacentral:rRNA from 1 species